CAAUUUGUUCGUUCCUCUUUCUGUAGCCAACAGCUGUAAGUCAUAUUCAGAAGGUAUCUGUGGAAGAAAUGAUUGUAGAACAGAGCAAGAGAAGACCACUGUUGCUUUUUACUCACUCGUCUCGAAGAACUUUGCGCUCCCGCCUGCUGGCAGGACGUUUGUCUAUGACGCAGUUGUAACAAAUCAUGGAAAUGGAUACAGCAAGAAAUCGGGGAUUUUCACUGCCCCGAAGUCUGGGGUAUAUGUAUUUACCUGGACGCUUGUGGCUGCCGGGCAACAUGUUUCGGGAACCAAGGGUCACUUUGGGGAGAUAGCAACUCAUAUACUACAGAAUGAUGUUAUAAGGGGUACUCUUCAUGCUGAUACUGAAAAACAGGGGGAUGACGGAACAUCGACAGGAUUUGUUAUAUUGAAUCUGGAAAAGGACGACGCCGUUAAAAUAUCAAGUGCCUGGAACGGACAAGGGUCUGCUUAUAUCAAUGAGCAGUUUGGAAGAUGGUCAUUCUCUGGUUUUAAAAUAGCUUAGUACUGUAGCUUUUCUGAACAAAAAGUUAUACAAUAAAACUAAGAUGAAUCUAAAUUUGAAUUACCGAGUUUUAUUAGUAAUGUUUUGAAAUUUAAUAACUGAUUGCCAAUUAAAAGAAAUACAAAUCA